GAUGAACGCUGGCGGCGUGCCUAAUACAUGCAAGUAGAACGCUGAAGGAAGGAGCUUGCUCUUUCCUGAUGAGUUGCGAACGGGUGAGUAACGCGUAGGUAACCUGCCUGGUAGCGGGGGAUAACUAUUGGAAACGAUAGCUAAUACCGCAUAACAGUAGAUUUUGCAUGACAACUAUUUGAAAGGGGCAAUUGCUCCACUACCAGAUGGACCUUCGUUGUAUUAGCUAGUUGGUGAGGUAACGGCUCACCAAGGCGACGAUACAUAGCCGACCUGAGAGGGUGAUCGGCCACACUGGGACUGAGACACGGCCCAGACGCCUACGGGAGGCAGCAGUAGGGAAUCUGCGGCAAUGGACGGAAGUCUGAGCGAGCAACGCCGAGUGAGUGAAGAAGGUUGUCGGAUCGUAGAGCACGGUUGUAAGAGAAGAACGAGUGUGAGAGUGGAAAGUACACACUGCGACGGUAACUGACCAGAAAGGGACGGCUAACUACGUG
rnacentral:rRNA from 1 species